GGAGCGGUGCUGGAGUGGCCGAACAGGCACGUCUGGAAAGCGUGUAGGGGUUAACCGCCCCUCGUGGGUUCGAAUCCCACCCGCUCCGCCA
rnacentral:tRNA from 1 species